CAGUUGGGGACAGCAGCAACAGAGACAGCGACAGCAACGGCAGCAGCGGAGGCGGCGGUGAUGGCCGAGUCCUAGGCGCCCGCCCACGGAUCAUAGCCCCAGGAAAACUUAUGGAUUCCAUCCAAACUGAUAAAAAUCAGAUUUGAUAGAGGAAGACCCUCUGAAGAUCUUGACUGCAGAAAGGAAGAAAGAAAUCUAGAAGACCAAAUAGGAUAGAAUGGAAGGCCAGAAGAGCAGCCCUGACCGGAUUCACUUUCGAGGAUGCUGGGAUGCUGAAACCUGCUUUUCCAGCUCCCUGAUCAAUAUUGCCUCAAACUGAUGCUGUUCCAGAGACUUGCUUCCAGAACAGCUUCAAAAAGGGCUGCUAAUCCCAGAUGACCUUGUUUCAUCCAGUCUUUCAGAUUGUUCUAAUCAGGACUUCAGUUAAGCCCUAAACUUUCUCCAUUCAAGACUUCAGUUAAUCAACCUAUAGAGACUGGACAACAAUAAUGCCAGCUAGCUUUCUUUUGACUUAACCAUUUUUCCAGUUUUCUCUUGGGCCCCCAAACUGGAACUCUUUUCCCCAAUUCAGCAAGAAGAAACUAUAAGAAGACUGUCAUCCCAAUCACUUAAGUUGGGGUGGAUAGUUUUGAUCAUUUUAUGAAUUAUAGAUAUAUUGUCAUUUUAAGGGAUGAUUACAAAUAAUUAUGGUCUUAGACAGGGAGGAAAUUAUAUAGGGAGCUGAGACUCAGAGAUUGCUAUAUCUCUUUUCCUUUUCUCUAUCCUUCUUUCUUUCUUAAAUAAAGAUAAAGAGGUUGAGAAGAAAAAGGGGGCAUAUAGAAAUAUUGUAAGAAAUUAGACAAAUAGGGGUAGAUUAUUAAAUCUAUUCUUAAAUAAAAACAUUUUACAGUGAUAAUCUUAUAUUGAUAGAGAUAUUUAUAUUUUGAUGCAAAAUUGAGGUUAUAUUUUGUUACAUUGGCAUAGGUUAUUAUAUAUUGAUAUAAAUUUAAGGUUAAUUUUGAUACACAUAAUGUAUAUGUUUUCAAUUUUCAUAUGAGAUAUUGUACUUACAUAAUUCUUAAAGAUCAACGUAAAGUUCUACUCUUUUUAAAAACUGCUAUUACAAACAAUUAGGGGUGAUAAAAAAUACAAGUUAUAAACUAUUANAAUUAAUUAUAAUAAAAUGUUCUUAAGGUUAUUCAGAUAGUUAAUAGCUAAGAAUAACGAAUGUCUAGUUGGUCUUCAAAACCUCAUAGAUACACAGAAUAUGGCAUUUAAAAUUAUUUCAUUAUUAAAAGAUCUUUUGACUAUGAGACAGGUCUGUUCCUGACAGUACCCCCAUUCCACUUCAGUGAAGGUGAUGAGCAUCAACAAUAACCUCCAUAUGGAGUUGCUCCAAUUGUAGCAAGUUAGCCACUGGGCAAAGAAAAUACCUAUGCUUCAACUACAGACAAAUCUGUUCAGAAAGGACAAAUGGAUGAAGAGCCAACCAAGCUCUGCCUAGACAGGAAUCUAAAUUAUCUUAUGGAGCCUGGUAGCAUUAUUGUGAAACUUCCCUUCUACACAGCCCAGACAGAACAGAGUGUUGAAAGUCUCUGAAUGAAAGCCUCUAGAAUCCAGUCUAAAAGAGAGUUCUUCUCAUAGUACCUCAGUGCACAUUUCUUAUCCGUAAUUCCUGGGUUUUCUAUUGCUCUGAAGGCACAGGAUGAUCACCCGUAUGAUACUACCCUAGUCUGAGAACUGGUCCACUCCUGCAUAGACAACAUGCACCAAAAUUCAGAUAGUUGAAGACACGGGGAAGAUGAAUGACUUUCAGACAAUCUAAUGACUUGGGGUCUGGAUGAAACUGGGAAUUUUGUUUGAAAGUAAAGACAAGCUAUGGGAAAGCACAUCUAUUAUUCUUCAUGAAUAUUUAACCUCAACUCGAAGUUUCCCUUCGCCAUCUUGAACUGCUUCACUGGCUAUUCCCUAAAGUUCAUCUUCCAAAGGCAACCAUCACUUAGAUUCUAACUGUUGCCCACCACUUGUGCUGAUCUGUUCCUGGGGGAGGCAGACACUGUUGUCCAAAGAGAAUGCGCUCCUGACCUUGUCCUAAAAAGGCCCACACUAACAGCUGGGCUGGAAGCAUUGCUGACAGUAGCUAAAAUGCUUAUCCCUCACAGAAAAAUGGGAAGUAUUAUCCAAAUAUAACUGAGCAAAUUUCUCUGAAAUAUUGAUGAAAAUACAGUCAUGUUUCAACUUCUAAGAAAAAAAUAGAAGAAAUGAACCCUGGCUUACUAAAACACACAAUUUCAAUGUACUAAUCAGAAGGAUUUUGGUUAUUGUUUUCAAUUCAAAAUACUCGAAUACUUUAACAUUGUUUAAUAGGCUUUUCUUUCAGAGAUUAAUUGGCUGAAAAAAUGUCGUUUCAAAACUUAGUUGCAGUUUAUAAUAACUAAAUUUCAGAAGAACAAGUGACUUUUUCUUGAAAAUGAAUAAAGAAUAAUUAUGAUUUUUUUAAAAUU
ensembl:antisense